CGGAGGUGGCAAGCGUUACUCGGAAUUAUUGGGUGUAAAGGGCAAGUAGGCGGCUUGGUAAGUGGGGGGUGAAAUACUCCGGCUCAAUCGGAGAACAGCCUUCCAAACUGCCUGGCUUGAGUGUGACAGAGGAAAAUGGAAUUCUCGGUGUAAGGGUGAAAUCUGUAGAUAUCGAGAAGAACACCAGAUGCGAAGGCGAUUUUCUGGAUCACUACUGACGCUAAAUUGCGAAAGCUAGGGGAGCAAACAGAAUUAGAUACCCUGGUAGUCCACGCCGUAAACGAUGGAUACUAGCUGUUCGGAGCAAUCUGAGUGGCUAAGCGAAAGUGAUAAGUAUCCCACCUGGGGAGUACGUUCGCAAGAAUG
rnacentral:rRNA from 1 species